rnacentral:lncRNA from 1 species
UUGGACGGAGGCUGCUUCCAGGUCGGGAGGGGGUACUUCGAUCAGUUCGUGUUCGUUGAAGAUGGUGAAGCUGAUGUUUGUUUCUACAGUAUCGCAACGGAUGCGCCGGUUGUCGGUGCGAUUGAGAUCGUUGGAGUCGAUUGAGGACGCACUUCAUUAUUUUACUUCUUCCCUUUCUUUAUUUUCAAUAUCAUUUUUUCACAGGGGUUCCAAAGAAGCAGAAGAGAAGAAUGCAAAAGACGACACAGCAUCUCCUUCAUCUGUGUUAGGGUUGGGAUUGGGAAUGGGAUUUACCUUCCCCUGGGAGAGUUGAAAGGGAUACUAAGAGGAGACAGAAUACCUUAGAGUUAGAGUUGGAUUUCGUUGGGAUACUAAUUCGUUGGAAAUUAAUCAAGCAAACUUGUUCAAGGAAAUACACCCGCCAUAUCAUGAACACAAGAACACGCAGGAAUAAUCAAUCAAUCAAUAUUCAUGUUUCAGUUUUAAACUUUUAAUUGCACCCACUCAUCGGAAGGAAUACUGAAUUUCUUCCAGAGUUCUUCCUUUGGUUUCCGGAACCCACAGACCCACAAACAGAAUUGUAAAAACCGUCACAGUUGUAUAAAUGAUAAAAGUCUCAAAAAAAUCUAACCAUUACCUUUUUAAUCGCAUCAAUGAAAAUUUAAAUUAAUUGUAAAAUAGAAUAAAAAAUAUAAGUGGUUAUUUUUAACUCCAAAUCGAUUAUAAGUGGUUGUAUAUUUCGCAAUUUUCCUUCUAUAUUUCUCAUCAAUCGAUU